CUCUAUUUAAUAUAAGGUAGAUACUGAACAGUGUUUUUAGUAAUAAUUAGACAAUGGUUGUAAUUAAGUUGCUGUCAUCAAUUCUAGUAUUUAUAACAUUUUCAACUGCACAUGCACAAGAUUGCGAACAUGAUGAAUCCGAAGCUAUGCAGACAUUAGCUAAGCUGGCG